AAGUCGAGCGAAGCCUUCGGGCUUAGCGGCGGACGGGUGAGUAACGCGUGGGAAUGCGCCCCUCGGUGCGGAACAACAACUGGAAACGGUUGCUAAUACCGCAUGACGUCCGGUCCCGGGAGGGAUCGGACCAAAGAUUCAUCGCCGAGGGAGCGGCCCGCGUCGGAUUAGGUAGUUGGUAGGGUCACGGCCUACCAAGCCGACGAUCCGUAGCUGGUUUGAGAGGAUGAUCAGCCACACUGGGACUGAGACACGGCCCAGACUCCUACGGGAGGCAGCAGUGGGGAAUCUUGGACAAUGGGCGCAAGCCUGAUCCAGCCAUGCCGCGUGAGCGAUGACGGCCUUAGGGUUGUAAAGCUCUUUCACCGGUGACGAUAAUGACGGUAACCGGAGAAGAAGCCCCGGCUAACUCCGUGCCAGCAGCCGCGGUAAUACGGAGGGGGCUAGCGUUGUUCGGAAUCACUGGGCGUAAAGCGCGCGUAGGCGGACCAUUAAGUCGGGGGUGAAAUCCCGGGGCUCAACCCCGGAACGGCCUUCGAUACUGGCGGUCUGGAGGUCGAGA
rnacentral:rRNA from 1 species